rnacentral:rRNA from 1 species
AAUCCAUAGGUUAAUGAGGCGAACCGGGGGAACUGAAACAUCUAAGUACCCCGAGGAAAAGAAAUCAACCGAGAUUCCCCCAGUAGCGGCGAGCGAACGGGGAGGAGCCCAGAGCCUGAAUCAGCAUGUGUGUUAGUGGAAGCGUCUGGAAAGGCGCGCGAUACAGGGUGACAGCCCCGUACACAAAAGCGCAUGUGCUGUGAGCUCGAUGAGUAGGGCGGGACACGUGGUAUCCUGUCUGAAUAUGGGGGGACCAUCCUCCAAGGCUAAAUACUCCUGACUGACCGAUAGUGAACCAGUACCGUGAGGGAAAGGCGAAAAGAACCCCGGCGAGGGGAGUGAAAAAGAACCUGAAACCGUGUACGUACAAGCAGUGGGAGCCCCACCACCAAAGCAUUCUCUGGUGUUGAAGGCCCUGCAAAGCAGCAUCGCGGUGGCGGAGCGUCGUUUGCGACGCCCAACACACAAAACAAGCGGUGAGUGCUUUGGGGUGGGGUGACUGCGUACCUUUUGUAUAAUGGGUCAGCGACUUAUAUUCUGUAGCAAGGUUAACCGAAUAGGGGAGCCGGAGGGAAACC